GCUCGAGGUGGAGUACGAUGAGCAAGAUGACUACGUGGUCAUCAAGCAUGCAGCACUUUUUACGUCGACUAUUAUGAGCAAGCUUUUGGCUAGGCCUAAUGUGAAGCUGUUCAAUGCAGUGGCGGCUGAGGAUUUGAUUGUCAAGGGAGACAGAGUUGCUGGAGUUGUGACAAAUUGGGCUCUUGUGUCCAUGAACCAUGACACACAAUCUUGCAUGGACCCGAAUGUCAUGGAAGCUAAGAUUGUGGUUAGCUCGUGUGGGCAUGAUGGUCCUUUUGGAGCCACUGGUGUCAAGAGGUUGAGGAGUAUCGGGAUGAUUGAGAGCGUUCCUGGAAUGAAGGCUCUUGAUAUGAAUGCUGCUGAGGACGCGAUUGUUAGGCUUACUAGAGAAAUUGUGCCCGGGAUGAUUGUUACUGGCAUGGAAGUGGCUGAGAUUGAUGGAUCCCCAAGAAUGGUAAAAACUUUUUACGCGAAUUCCUAUUAUAUACAAAACAUUUUCAUUGAUCAUCUUAUUAGGCUGUAUUAGAAAAUUUUGGGUACAUUUUAACGAAUGUUAUUGUAUAUGCAGGGACCGACAUUUGGGGCGAUGAUGAUGUCAGGACAGAAAGCAGCACAUCUGGCAUUGAGGGCAUUAGGUCUACCAAAUGCUCUGGAAGAGAGCCAACCAGAGUUUGUAAUUGCAGAUGCUGCGGAU
rnacentral:lncRNA from 1 species